UACAACUUUUGUCUGAAACACUUUCUAGUAAAACUCUUCCUUAUCGAGAUAUUCAACCAUGUCCAGACAUUUUUAACAGAUGUUAAAAGAAAUAUGAAAAACUAUUCCAAUAGAGUUCGAAAGAAUAAAAAUGUAAGAGAUUUUCAUCACUAAUGACUUAGGUCUUUCCUUUCUUUCAGCUGGUAUUUCAACAUUUCAUAAUACAUUUCAUUUUAUAAAGCGAUUACGCGCCUACGCGUGUUUUGAACACAAAAUCGAAUAUGGAGAUGAAGAUGAAUGCGCGGCGCGCAUAAAUAUUUCAGAAUAUUGCGGAAUGCAAUCGCCGGAUUACGAUGCCGGAAGUGUCCAAAUGAACUUCGAAAAGUCACGAAAGAUUUGCGUGUCGACGUGACAGAAAUGGAGCAGUUUCUCCGACGUGGUUUUUUCGAACAAUGGAAAAUCCUGUCGAUGGAAAAUUCGACUUUUCUCCCUGGCGCUAUCGCCAAAAUCUCAUGGAAUUUUAAAGCAGCCGCCCGCCUCCGGAUUAUUAGUUCGAAUCACGCGAUGCAUCCUCGUUGCACGGACAGCUUUUCGAUUCUACCCGAUGUAAGCGCCAGAAACUUCGCCAUCUUCGUUCGCUCGCUGUAAUAUUCCUCCAAGAAACGAAAGUAAGGCAGGGGGACGCAAAAUGUGAACAGAGAGACAAGCUUGUGACGUUAUGAGCCAGCGAGUGUUGCAUUUUUUACAAACGAUAAUGCCAUGUCGACCGUUUUUGCCUUGCUCGCAACUGCAAACCGUCCCGGUUUCGUUCCGGCUCAUCUCUUAUUUUAAGCACAGUUUCUGCACAUGCAUGUUUAAUAUCCAAACCUGGCUAAUGUAUCCUGCGAAACGUAUGCUCGCUUCUUCUAGUCUAGAUUCUUAUUUCAUUUUCAAUGGAAUUUUUUCAUGGGAUAUGAUUAUAGGAAAAAGAUUGUCAAAUUUAGCGUUAAUUGAGUGAUUUGGAUGCAUCGAUGUUAUUUACGAAAAUGAGCGCAUCUAUGUGUUGUAACAAGCUCUGGAGAUUUUCAAGAGAGUUCCCUCUACAGAAAUUGAAACAUACAGAUUCCUCUUCAACGUACAUUAUAUAUUAUCUCACGUUCUCUUUUACGUACUUGGAUUCUAACAAAUUCUCUAUUUAUAGAUAAUAAGUUUUCCUGCAAUAAUUAUUUAUUUCUGAAAAGGAUAAAAACUGAUAUACGCGACUGAUAUAACCAGGAGCAGAUCAUUUGCAUGCACUCAUCGUUGCCCUCGUACAAAUUCUAAAAAUAAAGUCAAUCAAGACGUGAGUUAAAAAGUACAUCUCGUAUCCAUAUGAGAAACUAGACCGGCAUAUUCUAAUGAUAUAUGGACCUGUCGAUCUAAGGAUCAAAGCAUCCAAGAAUACAACCCGGAAGUUUACUGACGUAAGAUCCAAAAAUGCUAUAGCUAGGCAGGAUUUAAGGAUGCAGAACUGCAAUCGAUAGAUGAUUAUUUCAUAGUGAAAAUUUCAUAGUGAAAAUUCUGUAAAAUCCCCCUGGUCAAAAAAAUUUCACUUUUAAUUAA